rnacentral:sRNA from 1 species
AGACUUUUCGGCAUCGGGCCAUCUCAGAUACUUGGCUGACGGUGAACCGCAUGGAACAGUGCAGGACGGAAUAUAGAGGAGCACUAUUAUGGAUGAAGGACGUGUCUCAGGAGCUUGAUCCAGACCUCUACAAGCAAAUGGAGAAGUUCAGGAAGGUACAAACACAAGUGCGCCUUGCAAAAAAAAACUUUGACAAAUUGAAGAUGGAUGUGUGUCAAAAAGUGGAUCUUCUUGGAGCAAGCAGAUGCAAUCUCUUGUCUCACAUGCUAGCAACAUACCAGGUAACAAAAUAAUGUUUGUUGCAAUGAACCAAGGAUGGCACAAGGUUUAAAUAACAUCAAAAUGGUGUUUGAGCUAAAAGUAAGCUUUGGCCAUUGUGAAGUUCUGAAUGCCUUUCCGUAAUUUCACUUCCCACAUCUCUGCCUUCUAGGGUCCUACGUUUAACCAAACCAAAUAGUAGCUAUUUCCUGUAUAUAC